AGCAGCCGCGGUAAUUCCAGCUCCAAUAGCGUAUAUUAAAGUUGUUGCAGUUAAAAAGCUCGUAGUUGAAUUUCGGGGUUCUACCGUUGGUCGGGCUUUGUCUGUACUGGCGUGUAGAAUUUCUACCUUCUGGGGAACCAUCAUGUUAUUAAUUUAACGUGGUGGGAAACCAGGACCUUUACCUUGAAAAAAUUAGAGUGUUCAAAGCAGGCUUAUGUCUGAAUACAUUAGCAUGGAAUAAUAGAAUAGGACGGUGGUCCUGUUUUGUUGGUUUCUGAAUCACCGUAAUGAUUAAUAGGGAUAGUUGGGGGCAUUAGUAUUCAAUUGUCAGAGGUGAAAUUCUUGGAUUUAUUGAAGACUAACUUCUGCGAAAGCAUUUGCCAAGGAUGUUUUCAUUAAUCAAGAACGAAAGUUAGGGGAUCGAAGACGAUCAGAUACCGUCGUAGUCUUAACCAUAAACUAUGCCGACUAGGGAUCGGACGAUGUUAAUUUUUCUUGACUCGUUCGGCGCCUUACGGGA
rnacentral:sRNA from 1 species